rnacentral:rRNA from 2 species
GGGUGGAUUAGUGGCGAACGGGUGAGUAACACGUGAGUAACCUGCCCCUGACUCUGGGAUAAGCCCGGGAAACUGGGUCUAAUACCGGAUAUGACUUUUGACCGCAUGGUUGAGGGUGGAAAGAUUUAUCGGUUGGGGAUGGACUCGCGGCCUAUCAGCUUGUUGGUGAGGUAAUGGCUCACCAAGGCGACGACGGGUAGCCGGCCUGAGAGGGUGACCGGCCACACUGGGACUGAGACACGGCCCAGACUCCUACGGGAGGCAGCAGUGGGGAAUAUUGCACAAUGGGCGCAAGCCUGAUGCAGCGACGCCGCGUGAGGGAUGACGGCCUUCGGGUUGUAAACCUCUUUCAGUAGGGAAGAAGCGAAAGUGACGGUACCUGCAGAAGAAGCGCCGGCUAACUACGUGCCAGCAGCCGCGGUAAUACGUAGGGCGCAAGCGUUAUCCGGAUUUAUUGGGCGUAAAGAGCUCGUAGGCGGUUUGUCGCGUCUAUCGUGAAAGUCCGAGGCUCAACCUCGGAUCUGCGGUGGGUACGGGCAGACUAGAGUGAUGUAGGGGAGACUGGAAUUCCUGGUGUAGCGGUGAAAUGCGCAGAUAUCAGGAGGAACACCGAUGGCGAA